AAGCCGUACUAGAUUUACCUGAUGAGGGUCGGUCCUUAUCACAGUUUUAUGCUAUAUAUGAACUUGGCGAUGUAUCUCAUGAAACUGGCUAAACAUUGCAGACUCUGCGAAAUCUAGAUGUAGAAGUUUCCUAAGACUCUCAAAGAAACAUCGAAUAUAGGAAAUUGCGUGUUCAAUAAUGGAGCGAUGCAUAACUCAAGAUCAAGCACAAUCAUAUCUGCAGGAUAAAAAAAACAAAAUAACAUUUUUUAGACUUCACAAUUCCUUCCUAAACAGUGUGAUGCCCUGCUAUACUGUUUCCCCCCUUUUGCAUCUGGUACAUGCAUUUUGAGUCUGUUCUUCAAAAUUUAAAGUUAUAUAGACCAUGCUCUCCUCUCUUAUAUGUAACUUUGAGAACUUUAGCAUCUAGCCUUUGUGGACGAUAUUUAACAUUUAUCUAAUUUGAACUGUGUAUUUACCCAAUAAAGUUUAGUAUACGCUUACACCUUACACAUGUAUUACACCUUACAUUCUCUUUUCCCUUUUCCCUUCCAUUCUCUGCAUGUACACUUAUGCUCUCUCUUUUUAUUAUUUUGUUUCUCAACAGGUACUGAAAAUUCUCGUAUUUGGUUGAGAUCUAAACUAGGCAUAAGGUAGUGGAAAUGGAUCCUACGGACAACCAAGACGAGUUAAUGCACGAGCUCAUUCGUGGUAGUACUGGGCACAUAGCUCCAGAGUUUGAUGAGGACGAGAACGAUGGCAGCCAAUUUUUAAACUUGCAUUAUCAUGGCGACGAGGAGCAAGAUAUUAGUGGGGAGGAAGAAGGAAAUGUCGAGGAAGCCGAGGUAUAAAAGUUUAGUGAUUCUUUCAGGCAUCAGGAUAAACGUUUUGUCAAUAUAUAUGUUAGGAGCAAGAUAUUGUUUGUGACACAUGCGACCCAGCUGCGAACUAUUUGUGUUAUGUUGCUAGCUUUGUUGAUGAUUUCAGUCCUUGUGUAAGGAGUCGUGCUCCAGCUAAAAAUUCU